rnacentral:rRNA from 1 species
UACGAAGGGGGCUAGCGUUGCUCGGAAUCACUGGGCGUAAAGCGCACGUAGGCGGACUCUUAAGUCAGGGGUGAAAUCCUGGAGCUCAACUCCAGAACUGCCUUUGAUACUGGGAGCCUUGAGUUCGGGAGAGGUGAGUGGAACUGCGAGUGUAGAGGUGAAAUUCGUAGAUAUUCGCAAGAACACCAGUGGCGAAGGCGGCUCACUGGCCCGAUACUGACGCUCAUGUACGAAAGCGUGGGGAGCAAACAGG